rnacentral:lncRNA from 1 species
CUUUUCUGAUAAACUGCCAAGUGGUUUCCAUUCUAAUUAUUACCGGUGAUGCCCAACCUCAUACACUAAACACGUUAAUUUCUCCUUAAAGCCAGGCUGAAUGUCUCUCUCAUUUAUUUUCACAUUUAUCCAUCCAAAAAACAAGUAUUUAUGGCAGGCCUGCUAAGUGCCAAGCAUAUUGAAACAGCAAUGAGAAAAUAGAGGGGGAAUAAAACACAUUCCCUGUCCUUAUGGAGCUUACAUUCUAGUGGAGGGCAGAGAUAUCAACAACUAAUAACGUGACUAAUCACACCUAGUUAAGUGUUAUCGAGGACAGGGUGCCCUGAGCUGGGCCUGGUGAUUCUGUUUGUGUGGAGUUGGAGUCAGGAAAACUGGUUUUCCCAGCUGGAGGUGUCUGCUGUCAGGUGUUCGUAGCACACUGUGCACAGUUCUGCCGUCGGUGGCACUGGCAUACAGACUGCCCUCGCACCCUGUGGAGUGAAUUCCUUGAGGCUACUGAUUAUUUUUUCUGUCAACAAUGCUGGGCACACAGUAGGAACUCAGGAAAUGUUAACUAAAUCUUUGAGUCUAGUCUCACUAUGCAGUUUAGGCUCAACAGGCUAUAUUGAGAGGAGCUCACACGUGCAUUUAACUCCACUGAGUAGCAGCAAGAAUCCUGGCUCCUCAAGAUCACCCACCUCUGAUCUCUAGGAUAUUCUAGAAUGAUCUGAGCAACUCAUGUGUACAGCUGGGGGGUGUUUGUCCAGCAACUCCUGAGUUAUCCGAAUAUAAAAACUCUAUUAUGCAUAGAUUUAUUGCACACUUUUUCCUGAAAUAAAAUGAUUUGGGGUCCAGACUAACCAAAGUGUGUCAUUUGCACUUAGGAAAAGGAAAUUAGGAUACAGAAAAGGAAGUUAAGGAAUGUAAACUCAGGACUUAGAACUGCAAGCUGCCAUCACUGGUCAGGAGGGAGGGAGCAGAAAUGUGCACCAGGGUGCUGGAAGCUUGUAUUAGGGCUCCACGUAAUUGUGCAAGGAAUUACAAUACAUAUGACCCCGUGCAUUGUAAUCAAAACUUGAAACUGACAAAUCAGCUAUGCCAACUGUAUUAAAUAAAUGCUACUCAAAGUUUUUUCCAGCCCAAAUAUUUAAACAGUGCAUUUCUAGGACCAUAUAAUCAGAAAAAAAACCUUGAAUGAAGAAAAGGGGAAAAGAACUUACAAUUAUGCAUAUUAUGUACAAGAAAAUUACAAACACAUUUGAAUUGUGAGAAGAUCCUGAAAUUUCUAGUAUGUAAGAGAUGCAUUAAAAAUACUGAUAGACUUUUAUAUCUCAAAUUUACUUAUUUAUUUUAAGCAAAUAUGAAAAACAUAAGGACUUUGUACAGUUCAUUCAAAACCCUGGUUCUCUCAAUAUAAUUUUCCCAAGUUGUCAGUACAGUUUUUGGCAAUAAGAAUUGAAGAAGUAUUUGCUGAAUGAGUAAAAUGUCUUAAAUCCCUUAACCACAAGUAGGAUUUCUAGUUAAGGGGAGAACACUGAUUCGAACAUCAUGUAUCUGCUCAAGUAGAGCAUGAUGACUGAUGCCUUUUCUUUCCCUUUCAGUGAUUCAUUUUGACCACUAUUUACACCAAACUGAAAAAGCUUUCCAAAAAACUCCCUAAUAAAAAAAAAAUCCUCUUACAUUUAUAAAUAGCAUACCAGUGCUUAUGCUGAGAUAGUGUUCUUUUACUGUUUAUUUAUUCACAUUAAAACUGAAUCUUUGGCCGUGCGCGGUGGCUCAUAUGAGGUCUUGAUCUGUCCACCCAGGCUGGAGUACAGUGGCACAAUCAUAGCUCACUGCAGCCUUGACCUCCUGGGCUUCAGUGAUCCUCCCACCUCAGCCUCCAAAAGUGCUGGGAUUAUAGGCGUGAGCCACCACACCUAGCCUCAGUAAUGGAAUUUAUUGAUCAUUGUUAAUUCACUAUCCAGGAUAUUUUUAAAAAUGCAUAUCAUCUAAAAUGUUAUCGUUUCUGUAUUUUUACUCAACUUUUAUCUUCAGUUAUCUUUAAAUUAUCAUACUAAAUAUCUAUCAUGAUUAAUGAUGGGAAAAUGAAAAGCCACUGGUUAUAAUUCAGAAUGGCAAGAACUAACCUACUAGAGAACACUAAAGGGAUAAUAACAAUACUAAUAAAAAUAAUGGCAGCUAACCAGAGCUGUGGCAUACAGCUAUGCAGACUGUGCACUGUACACGACAGGGGGUGACACAGCAUGGCAGCCCUGUGGCUAACACUGAGUACCCUAUCACAUGCCAGCUCAUAAGUAUUUUACAUGGAACUGAACUAUAAAGCAGAUACUACCCUCAUCCCUAUUUUAUAGAUAAGAAGAAAGAAGACAUAGAAGGUUAAACUUGCUCAAGACCUCAAAGCUAAUGAAUGGCAGAAAUGGGCAUUUGACUCGAGAGCUCACUCUAUUGAUUGCUAGCCCAUACUGCCUGAUUUAUGGUUACA